ACGAAUCUCCAUCCCUGUUAAAGUCACAUAACAAAUAUUGAUUACCUGACUCAGAACAAGUAUUUACUUUUAGAGGCUGAUCAACAGACGAGAGAAGGACAUCAGCUAAAUCGGGAGCGACGGAAAGAAUUGUGUCUAGGUUUUUAGAGAUAUCUUUUGGGUUUAAUCGUCGGAGUAAAUCUAAUGCAGCGUCUUCAGACUAAAAGAAUAAGUUAGCUGAUAUUGUAAAGAAGGAUAACGACAAAGAAUGUGAAAAGCAAAUUCAUAAAGUCUCUGAGCAAUACUGACGAAAAUCGAUGAAAUAUGCAUUCAAUGAUAAGAUGAAUUUACAGAUGGCUAUAUAAUAAAAAUAUAACAAAAAAAUUGGGCAAGGUAAUUAAUUUCAGUAAUACUUACAUUCAUGGUGAG